rnacentral:rRNA from 1 species
CCUACGGGAGGCAGCAGUGAGGAAUAUUGGUCAAUGGACGAGAGUCUGAACCAGCCAAGUAGCGUGAAGGAUGACUGCCCUAUGGGUUGUAAACUUCUUUUAUAUGGGAAUAAAAUGUUCCACGUGUGGGAUUUUGUAUGUACCAUAUGAAUAAGGAUCGGCUAACUCCGUGCCAGCAGCCGCGGUAAUACGGAGGAUCCGAGCGUUAUCCGGAUUUCUUGGGUUUAAAGGGAGCGUAGGUGGAUUGUUAAGUCAGUUGUGAAAGUUUGCGGCUCAACCGUAAAAUUGCAGUUGACACUUGCAGUCUUGAGUACAGUAGAGGUGGGCGGAAUUCGUGGUGUAGCGGUGAAAUGCUUAGAUAUCACGAAGAACUCCGAUUGCGAAGGCAGCUCACUGGACUGCAACUGACACUGAGGCUCGAAAGUGUGGGUAUCAAACAGGAUUAGAUACCCUGGUAGUC